rnacentral:rRNA from 1 species
UACGAAGGGGGCUAGCGUUGCUCGGAAUCACUGGGCGUAAAGCGCACGUAGGCGGCUUGUUAAGUCAGGGUGAAAUCCUGGAGCUCAACUCCAGAACUGCCUUUGAUACUGGCGAGCUUGAGUUCGGGAGAGGUGAGUGGAACUGCGAGUGUAGAGGUGAAAUUCGUAGAUAUUCGCAAGAACACCAGUGGCGAAGGCGGCUCACUGGCCCGAUACUGACGCUGAGGUGCGAAAGCGUGGGGAGCAAACAGGG